GGAUGCUGGUUUAUUAAAAUAAUGUCAGUGGGCUUAUUAACAACAGGAUCUGUUGGGCCUUCAAGUCAUCAAGCUUUGACAGAGAGGCCCAUGCAUCCAAUGCUGAGAAGACUCAAGGCUGAAAGUGGAAGUGGGAGCUUCCUGUUUGGUGGAAGAUGACUCCAGUGGCUGCAUCAGGAAACAGAGGAGCAUAAGCAGGCCUGCCGUAAACACUUAAUGACUCUCAUCACCGGAAAACACAAAUCAAGUGACAAGCAGCCAGUACUCUUCAAAAUGGCAAGAUUAUGA
rnacentral:lncRNA from 1 species